rnacentral:RNase_P_RNA from 1 species
GUGGAAAUGCAGGUGAUUGCGGAAGGCGUAGUAAUGCGCUUUCCGAGGAAAGUCCGAACUCCAAAGAGCAUUGCGCCGGUUAACGACCGGACGGUAAACCUGAGAGCGUGAUACUCACGAGCAAUCGUGCGCUUUCAGGCAAGCCGAUGGAAAGUGCCACAGAAAACAAACCGCCCGUGGCGAGCACUUCUUUACCGAAGUGUUCUUCAAGGGUAAGGGUGAAAAGGUGAGGUAAGAGCUUACCGCAUUCAUGGUAACAUCGAAUGGCAGGGCAAACCCCGCAAGGAGCAAAGUCAAGUAAGAAUGAAGGACGCUACCCCGAAUGUAGGUACGUCAUUACGCGGCUCGUGUAACAGAAGUGAGAUGUAAUAUGCUCCUUCGCUUCAUUCGGGUAGGCUGCACGAGGAGCGUAGUAAUACGCUUCCCAGAUAAAUAAUCACCUCUUGCGCCCUCGCUUCCCAGUUCAAAAGGCAGCGCAAAAGACAGAAUUCGGCUUAUCGCAUUUUCACGACA